AACGUAGGACGCAAGCGUUAUCCGGAAUUACUGGGCGUAAAGCGCGUGUAGGUGGUUUUAUAAGUCACUGUUGAAAGCUCCUGGCUAAACUGGGAGAGGUGCGGUGAGACUGUAGAGCUAGAGUUUGGGAGAGGGGUGCGGAAUUCCGGGUGUAGUGGUGAAAUGCGUAGAGAUCCGGAGGAAGACCAGUGGCGAAGGCGGGUCUCUGGACAGUUCCUGACACUGAGACACGAAGGCCAGGGGAGCAAACGGG
rnacentral:rRNA from 1 species